GUCCAUACGAGGCGUACGUAAAACAGAGGGUUCGUAUAACUGGGGUACGUAAAAACGAGGUUCUACUGUACAAGUGUUGAUCACACCCAGUGCUCCACGGAUUUGCCCUCCUUGUGCGGACAAAUCUCGCGGAUCAUGUAAGGUUUAGUUUCAGUAGAUCGCAGCGAAACCGCUGCUCACGGUAUCUUCACUGUAGACAAAAAGUCCGAAAUAAAGGCAAGAAAAAACUAUAGAUGGCGCGCUAUAUUUAAAACUUAUUUGGAUACACGUCACCAUGUCUGAAUAUUCAAUACUGUUAAUUAGCCAUUAAUACUGAGAUAACUAGAAAGAUUAUCUGAAUAUUCAUGAUCGACCCCUAAUUUGGUCACGAGGGAGGAGCCUGGAACCUUUCGUUCAGAAAAAUACUUCAUGGAAGUCGAUGUGGAAGCCGAUAGACGUAAGUGUGUAAUUUUCAUGUUUUUUCAGUUUUUUUACUAAAUUUGUAAUUAGUGUUAGCCAUCAUUUAUCAUCACAUAUGUUGUAUUUAUAAAUUGAUUGAUAGUUAAAGAACAAGUUUGCAAAAUAAAAAUUUUUUGUAACGGCUAUUUUUUUUUUCAAUGACGGUUAAUGUAACCUUCCCGUUUAGGCGACAGUGGAGCACGUGUUAUGCAUUGUAGGAGGCCUAGCGCCAUAUGCACGCCUAGGAAGUGAUCGCUCAUGAGGUUUUCUUAGCUCUUUCGGCAUCGACGUAGGCCUAAGCAGAUUGUACACCGUAAACGUUCCUUGCUUGCUUGUUGAAGGCAGCGUGGAUUUGCUCACCACCUUGCUUGCUUAGAAGACCUAAUCCAAAGUGCCAUCUCUUAAGGGUGAUUGGAGGCCAUAGAUCCUUAUCAUGAAAUCGUAGUCGCCGAAGAGGAACAACUUGAUUUUGUAACCUCUGAGAUGAAUGAAAGAAAUGAAAACAAAUAUCAAUUUGUUAAAGCUGUUGCCAGCCAAGACUGCAGUCAGAUUUUAAUGCGAGGCUGUCGUCCACACUUGGAUGUUUUCGCUGCAUGGACUGCAGUCCUUCAGCAGCCAGUUGCGUUUCGUUACUUACCGUUACCACAAGAAACAAUUCUUCGAAUUUCCUUAAUUUCUGCUGUCCUUCUCGAAACAGUCUUUUUGCUGACAUCAUCACUAGAUUUUGUUGCAUUUGAUAUGACAGCAACUUUCAGUGGCUAAAGGAAAAAUACAUAUCAUUGUGUAUAAUAUUUGUUAUCACUUGGACACUUGUAGUACAGUUUAUUUUAUCGUUCAAAUAUAUGUUGGCAGAUGGAAGCCAUUACAGAUUUUAUAAUCAUUACAGCAUUUGAUAAAUUAUACAAAUUUACAGUAAUAUUACUGUAACUAAUUUAAAAAAUUGAUUGAAAUUUACUUACUCUGCCAUUUGUUAUUAUGUUGAUUUCUUUUUGCUUUUUGAGUGAUUUAUGAAGCACUUUAUGAGCUAUUUUUUCCAGCUCAUUUGGCAUCACUUUAUUGAUCUGACAGUUGAUUUCAUUUACUGCUUUUUUGAUUUUCUCA